GCAAACUAGCGCAUAAAUAAUGAGUGUGGCAACUUGGCAGCAGCCCAAGCACAGGGAAAAGUUCAUGAAGCUCCCACUACCAGGAAAAGACCUGCCUGACUUUACAAGUAGUGCAAAUGAGUGGUCCUGAGGCAGGCUGCUCUGGAUUAACCUGAAGAGCCUCAUUCAUGUGAUGAUGGGUGUGUUCUGUACCUUCUGUGCCCAUCUGUGUUGUCUGUUGAACCAAGAUGUCUUCCUGUCUUGCAAGAAAAACAAGGGGACGGGGAUAGGUUUUUCCCUUUGGUGCCACCUCUUUCUCAUCUGCUUAUUCAUCCCACCUGUUUGGAGAGCUGCUGCUCCCUGCAGAGAGAAGUCACUAAAGCUGAACUUUCCUCUGAACUCUCUCAAAGCUCUUCACGGAGGAGCCCCCUGCCUUGCCGUGGGGUGUUGUCUUACCUCCUGUGGUCCCUCUACCAUUUCUCAGCCAGUUGUUUGGAGGAGGACUCAACACCAUCUGCUAUUUUUUCCUAAUGGCAAGGAAUGAUCUUGAACUAAUUCCAUGUGGCUUUUUAUAGAGCUAAGACUGUGAUGGUCUUAAUAUGCUGAACUGGAAGUUUAACAGCAGGG